AAAAUCUCAAAUUGUUUUGAAUGGUUGUUUGGGUUAAACUUGUGAAAAGCUCAAGUUUUAGUUUAGUGAAAAUAUCAAUAGGAAGCUUUUAGGGACUGUAGUAGGUCAAGUGGUUAGGCCAAACCAAGAUAAUUCUCUAGUGUGAUCUUUCUAUCCCUUAAUUUCUUUAUUUAUGUAAGUUAUUUUUCAACUAUUUUUUUUAUCUUUCUCUUGUUUCUUUUAGUAUCUCAC
rnacentral:lncRNA from 1 species